AUUGAACGCUGGCGGCAUGCUUUACACAUGCAAGUCGAACGGUAACAGGGUGCUUGCACCGCUGACGAGUGGCGAACGGGUGAGUAAUACAUCGGAAUGUACCCAGUAAUGGGGGAUAACGCUUCGAAAGGAGUGCUAAUACCGCAUACGCCCUGAGGGGGAAAGUGGGGGACCGCAAGGCCUCACGUUAUUGGAGCAGCCGAUGGCUGAUUAGCUAGUUGGUGAGGUAAAGGCUCACCAAGGCGACGAUCAGUAGCGGGUCUUAGAGGACGAUCCGCCACACUGGAACUGGGACACGGUCCAGACUCCUACGGGAGGCAGCAGUGGGGAAUCUUGGACAAUGGGCGAAAGCCUGAUCCAGCAAUGCCGCGUGCGUGAAGAAGGCCUUUUGGUUGUAAAGCACUUUAAGCGAGGGGGAGGCUACUAGUACUAAUACUACUGGAUAGAGGACGUUACUCGCAGAAUAAGCACCGGCUAACUCUGUGCCAGCAGCCGCAGUAACAC
rnacentral:rRNA from 1 species